UACGAAGGGGGCUAGCGUUGCUCGGAAUCACUGGGCGUAAAGCGCACGUAGGCGGAAUUGUUAAGUCAGGGGUGAAAUCCUGGAGCUCAACUCCAGAACUGCCUUUGAUACUGGCGAUCUCGAGUCCGGGAGAGGUGAGUGGAACUGCGAGUGUAGAGGUGAAAUUCGUAGAUAUUCGCAAAGAACACCAGUGGCGAAGGCGGCUCACUGGCCCGGUACUGACGCUGAGGUGGCGAAAGCGUG
rnacentral:rRNA from 1 species